GAUGAACGCUGACAGAAUGCUUAACACAUGCAAGUCAACUUGAACUUCGGUCUGGGUGGCGGACGGGCGAGUAACGCGUACAGAACUUGCCUCACAGAUAGGGACAACAUUUGGAAACGAAUGCUAAUACCUGAUAUUAUGAUUUUAGGGCAUCCUAGGAUUAUGAAAGCUAUAUGCGCUGUGAGAGAGCUUUGCGUCCCAUUAGCUAGUUGGAGAGGUAACGGCUCACCAAGGCGAUGAUGGGUAGCCGGCCUGAGAGGGUGAUCGGCCACAAGGGGACUGAGACACGGCCCUGACUCCUACGGGAGGCAGCAGUGGGGAAUAUUGGACAAUGGACCAAGAGUCUGAUCCAGCAAUUCUGUGUGCACGAUGAAGUUUUUCGGAAUGUAAAGUGCUUUCAGUUGGGAAGAAAAAAAUGACGGUACCAACAGAAGAAGUGACGGCUAAAUACGUG
rnacentral:rRNA from 1 species